rnacentral:lncRNA from 1 species
AUGAAACAGUUAAACUCAAGGCUCCGCUGUGUGACCCAACCCAUGCUGUCGGCACAGGCUGUCCUUUUUCCUGGUGAAAAUGAUCCCGGGGGUGCUGUGCGCGUAGCACACAUCACUGCAUCAUGCUUUGUGGGCUCACAUGUCACAUCAAACUGUCGAUCCUACAACUUAAGCGGAGGGACGAGGCCUCAUUUGGGAGUUAGGACAGCGAGGGGGAGAGUUCAUACACUUUUCCAGUAUUACAGUGAUGCCUGGAUUCUUUGCUUUUCUCAUUUCUGUGCUAAAAGCUUCCAAAGAGAUCAUCAUCUCCGCGGAAUAGAAUUCCUUUGCCUAAGGCCUAACUCAGAGGGAUACUUAUCUACAAAAAAUGCCAACCAGGAGGGGUGGCGUGAGCUGGGUCUUGGUCCACAUCCUGCCCGUCCACCGUGUUUAUCCUUGGUCACCAUGUGCAAUCCGUAUUUCCUUCUCCAUCCACCUCGAUUUCUAGCAGCUGCUGAGGACUUGGUUUAUCUGUUAGUGUUGCGUUUUGCUGUGAAUAACAGAAACCCUGACGAGACAUGA